UGUGGAACGGUGAGAAGAACAGCGUGACUAAGGCACAGAAGGCUAAGGGAUGCCCUGCAGUACUUUUGUAGGGUUGGAGGCCAGCUUUGAGAGAAGGAACCAUUGCAUUAGAGAAUGGGAACAUGCCUUAGGAUACAGAAAUGGCAAAUCCGUGAGACAGUUUGAAGUGAGAAUACUAGAAACAUUCUCACCAAACAAGGUGUGUCUUGGUGCCUGCUGUAUCGCAGGCUCCGUGAGAUGCUGGAGUCAGCACUGAACAAACAGUGCUUGUGGAAAUGCGUUUCGUUGGGGGGAGGGAUUUUUCUGCUGACUCUAGCUAUUAGUAAGAAUCAAAAAAAGAAAUGAGGUAAAUUGUUGGGAACAGGCCCCCAAAUCUGGCCAUAAACUGGCCCCAAAACUGGCCAUAAACAAAAUCUCUGCAGCACUGUGACAUGCUCGUGGUGGCCAUGACACCCACGCUGGAAGGCUGUCAGUUUACUGGAAUGAGGGCAAGGAACACCUGGCCCACCCAGGGCGGAAAACCGCUUAAGGGUUUCCUAAACCACAAACAGUAGCAUGAGCAAUCUGUGCUUAAGAACAUGUUCCUGCUGCAGAUAACUAGCCAGACCCAUCCCUUUGUUUCCCAUAAGGAAUACUUUUAGUAAAUCUUAUGACUGGCUUGUUGUCAGUAAAUACGUGGGUAAAUCUCUGUUCGAGGCUCUCAGCUCUGAAGGCUGUGAGAUCCCUGAUUUCCCACCCCACGCGCUAUAUUUCUGUGUGUGUGUCUUUAAUUCCUCUAGCGCUGCUGGGUUAGGGUCUCCACGACCAAGCUGGUCUCAGCAAGCAGCGCCCAUAUGUGGGGUUCAGACCCAGGUCAAAGGGUCACUGGAGUGACGGAGAACAUGCAACUAAGCUAGAGGACACCCGAGUACUCUUAAGCCAUCCCCAUGGUGAAUAAGAAGGGGAGCUCAGAAGCAUCAUGGUAACAAUGGGACAAGUGUGGGCUCUGGUUCGUUACCUUUUCACGCUAAUAAUAAGGGGGAAGGAGAGUAUAACGAAGUAACAGAAGAAGUAACAGAGCAGGCUUGUUUGCCAGCUAAAGCUAAAGUGGCAAAGGAGGGAGAGGUUCAUCCCUACCCUUCUGUACCCCCUCCUUAUUUUGAAGAAAAAGAGUGACCUGACCCUCCAGAUCUUUAUUUUCCGGAGGACACUGGGCGACAAGUAGUUGCUCCAGUGACUGUUCGAGCAGCGCCUCGAGCGACCGCUCUCAGUUCUAUUCAGGCAGGAAUUCAGCAAGUUAGAAGAGAGGGUGAUAGAGAAGCUUGUCAGUUCCCUGUUAGAACACACCCCACAGGUCAACAGGGAAAUAUUUUAGCUGCAUUUGAGCCUUUCCCUUUAAAUUACUUAAAGAGUCUAAACAGGCUGUCAAUGAACAUGGACCAGGUUCUCCUUUUGUAAUGGGACUGCUAAAGAAUGUUGCUGUUUCCAGUCGGAUGAUUCCUACUGGCUGGGACGCUCUUACUCGAGCUCAGUUCUUAAAAUUUAAAACUUGCUGGGCAGAUGAAGUUUCCAUUCAGGCUGCUUGCAACGCCCAGGCCCAACCUCAAAUUAAUGUGACUGCAGACCGACUUUUAGGGGUCGCGGCUGGGCUGGUUUAGAUGCACAAGUGGUCAUGCAGGAUGAUGCCAUAGAGCCGCUUAGAGGAGUGUGCAUUAGAGCUUGGGAAAAAAAUCACUUCAGGUGGAGAACAGUACCCUUCCUUUAGUGCAAUUAAAACAGGGACCAAAAGAACCGUAUGCAGAUUUUAUAGCUCAGUUAUAGGACUCUCUUAAAAAGGUGAUUGCGGUUUUGGCUGCUCAGGGUAUAGUUUUGCGGUUAUUAGCUUUCGACAGUGCUAAUCCUGGCUGCCAGGCUGCUCUGCGACCUAUUAGAGAGAAAGCACAUUUAGUUGAUUAUAUCAAGGCCUGUGAUGGUAUCGGAGGUAAUAAAGCUAAAGCUACAUUGUUGGCACAGGCAGUGAUGGGACUGAGAGUGGAUAAAGGAAAUCCUCUGUUCUCUGGAGCUUGUUUUAACUGUGGGAAGCGUGGUCAUACUAAACAAGAAAGUAGAAAAAAUCAGCGAAUCAGGCUGCCAGACGGGGAAAAAAGAAAACUGCAGAGCCUGAAAUAUGUCCAAAAUGUCAAAGGAAAACAUUGGGCCGAUCACUCACUCUAAGUUUGAUAAAGAUGGGAACCCAAUUUCGGGAAAUGCCGUGAGGAGCCCGUCCUGGGCUCCGUUCCAAACCAGGGCAUUUCUGGCUCAGGCCACUCCUUCACCCCUGUACAAUGUUUGUCCCCCACCACAGCCAGUGGUGCCACAGUAGAUUUAUGCUGCACAAUAGCUGUGAGUCUUCUGCCUGGGGAGCCCCUGCAAAAGGUCCCAACAGGAGUCUGUGGACGCUUGCCAGCAAGGACAAUAGGAUUACUUUUAGGAAGAUUUAGUUUAAAUUUAAAAGGGGUACAAAUACAUGCAGGAGUCAUUGAUUCAGAUUACAAUGGGGAAAUUCAAAUUAUCAUAUCUACUUCUGUUCCCUGGAAAGGGGCACCAGGAGAGCGCAUAGCACAGCUCCUGAUUGUGCCGUAUGUGGGAACGGGGAAAAGUGAAACUAAACGAACAGGAGGAUUUGGAAGCACAAAUAAACAAGGCAGAGCAGCUUAUUGGGUGAAUCAAAUUACUGAUAAACGUCCUACCUGUGAAAUAACUAUUCAGGGAAAGAAAUUUAAAGGUUUGGUAAAUACAGGAGCGGACAUUUCAAUCAUUUCUCUACAGCCCUGGCCAUCCGUGUGGCCAAUUCAGCCUGCUCACUUUAACAUAGUUGGAGUUGGUCAAAGUAGUUAUAUUUUACAUUGUGAAGGGCCCAGUGGACAACCUGGGACUACUCAACCAAUUAUAACUUCUGUACCUACACAUUUAUGGGGGAGAGAUUUAUUACAACAAUGGGGAGCACAAGUUCUAAUUCCAGAACAAUUAUAUAGCCCUCAGAGUCAGCAUAUGAUACAUGAAAUGGGGUAUGUCCCUGGUAUGGGACUAGGAAAACAUUUCCAAGCUUUGAAAGAACUGCUUGAAGCGGGGAGACAAAGUUCCCGCCAAGGUUUAGGGUAUCAUUUUUGAUGGCGGCCAUUGUUAAGCCACCAGAACCUAUACCUUUAAAAUGGUUAACAGAGAAGCCAGUUUGAAUAGAACAAUGGCCGCUAAGUAAAGAGAAACUGGAGACUUUAGAGGACUUAGUUAAUGAACAAUUAGAAGAGGGACACAUAGCUCCAACAUUUUCCCCUUGUAAUUCUCCAGUUUUUGUAAUUAAGAAAAAAAUCGGGUAAAUGGAGAAUGUUAACUGACUUAAGAUCCAUUAAUUCAGUUAUACAACCUAUGGGAACAUGACAGCCAGGAUUGCCUUCUCCUGCUAUGAUUCCAAAAAAUUGGCCUUUAAUAGUCGUAGAUUUAUUAAAAGACUAUUUCUUUACUAUCCCCUUAGCUGAGCAAGAUUGUGAAUGGUUUCCAUUUACAAUUCCUGCAAUAAACAACCUGCAGCUUGCUAAGCAUUUUCAUUGGAAAGUGUUGCCAAAAGUCAGGUUAAACAGUCCAACAAUUUGCCAGACAUAUGUAGGGCAAGCAAUUGAACCUACUCCUAAAAAAUUUUCACAGUGUUACAUUAUUCAUUAUAUGGACAAUAUACUUUGUGCUUCCCCCACUUGAGAAAUAUUACUCCAAUGUUAUGAUCACUUGCAAAAUUCAAUUUCUGGUGCUGGUUUAAUUACAGGUCCUGACAAAAUUCAGACUACUACUCCUUACUCCUACUUGGGGACCUUAGUAAAUGACACUACCAUUGUGCCACAGAAAGUAGCCAUACGUAGGGAUCAAUUAAAAACAUUAAAUGACUUUCAAAAAUUACUAGGGGACAUUAACAGGAUACGACCUGCUCUAGGCAUUCCUACCUAUGCCACGAGUAAUCUAUGUUCUAUCCUUAGAGGAGAUCCUAGUCACACUAGCCCUCGGCAGUUAACGAAAGAAGCUGAGGCAGAGCUGCAGCUAAUCAAAAAGCAAGGCCAUAAAGCUCAAAUAAAUAGACUAGAUCCAGAGAAGACUCUAGAUUUGCUCAUUUUUCCAACUCGCGUUCACCUGCUGGUGUUAGUGUCCAACAACAAGAUCUUGUAGAGCAGCUUUCCCUCCACAUCCUGAUCCAUGGUGUAGAGCGGCUCCCCCCCCACAUCCUGAUCCAUGGUGUAGAGCGGCUUUCCCUCCACAUCCUGAUCCGUGGUGUAGAGCGGCUUUCCCUCCACAUCCCGAUCCGUGGUGUAGAGCGGCUUUCCCUCCACAUCCCGAUCCAUGGUGUAGAGCGGCUUUCCCCCGCAUCCUCAAUUCACGGCGUAGAGCGGCUUCCCCCCCGCACCCUGAUCCACAGUGUAGAGAGGCUUUCCCCCGCGUCCCAAUCCGCAACGUAGAGCGGCUUUCCCUCCACAUCCUAAUUCACGGACUCUGACCCCUCAUUUGGAUCAAAUCGCUACUGUGAUAGGAAAUGGGAGAACUAGGAUUGUUAAAUUACAUGGAUAUGAUCCUGGAAAAAUUAUUGUCCCUCUCAUGAAGGCACAAAUACAGCAAGAUUUUGCAAAUAGUAUUACUUGGCAAACCCAUUUAGCUGACUUUGUGGGUAUUCUCGAUAAUCAUUUUCCUAAGAUGAAACUUUCAAUUUUUGAAAUUAACUAAUUGGAUUCUCCCUAAAAUAACUAAAUUUAAACCAAUUGCAGGUGCUGGAAUGUUUUUACAGAUGAGCCUAGUAAUGGUAAAGCUUCUUAUUCUGGCUCGAAAGGAGGAGUUAAUUCUCAAGGAUUGGAACCCAGUUCUCAAGCUCUAGCUACAUUUUUCUCUACAUGGAAUAUUAAACACGUUACUGGCAUCCCAUAUAAUUCUCAAGGACAAGCCAUAGUGGAAAGAAUGAAUCUCUCCCUGAAACAGCAGUUGCAAAAGCAGAGGGUGGAAAACAGGGACUACGGGACACCCCAUAUGCAACUGAAUCACAGUAUUAACUUUAAAUGUUUUGAGCCUGCCUAAAGGCCGGAUGUUAUCAGCAGCUGAACAGCAUCUACAGAAACCAGCCGCAAAGAUGGAAGCAGAACGACCGACUUGGUGGAGAGACCUGAUAACAAAAAGUUGGGAAAUAGGUAAAAUAGUAACUUGGGGUAGAGGUUAUGCUUCUGUUUCUCCAGGACUGAACCAUCAAGACACUUGAAACCUUAUCAUGAGCCGACGCCGAGGAAGAGAUUCUGGGAGGAUCCCGAGGACCCCCUGGUUCCAGCCAUGUUGAGACUGACACUGAGGGGGACCCCAACUGUCACGAGCAACACCUGUCAAACACAGCCACCGGGGACAGAUCAAGAAGCCGUCACAGAUGGCGGAAGAAACCCUGAGGAAAGCGGGACAGCCAGGCACAAUGAGUAAUUUAAUGGUAGCUGUGACAGCGGUGAUGACCAUUGCUGUGAGUAUUCCUUCAGCCAGGGCUGACACAGAGAACAACUGUACUUAUUGGGCAUAUUUAUCAAUCUUGGCUGGCAGUAGUGCCUGGAUGUAAUCACUCUAUGACACAGUUACACAUGCUUAAUAAAUCUCCUAUAAUUGGGGCAUACCACCCUCAAAAA